rnacentral:lncRNA from 1 species
CAUAGUCAGGGCCUUCCCUCUCCACUUGCUCCACUGCUGCACGUCUCUUCCCCACACGACCCCUCUUUAAGCUCUGGACUCCAAUCCCAGAAUCCUUGGCUCCUUAGCAAGGAGGUUUACAGAGUGACUUACAUACUACAGAAAUCACCUGUAAGAGACGAAUGCCAGCCAACAUGUUUGUCACAUUUGUGAAUAGAAUUCGUGUAGGAUUUACUUCAAAGAAACACGAAGGAGACAGCGUAUGAGAAAUGAGACAGGAUGAGCCUGAGGAGAUUAAGCGGGAAGAUUGUCCCACCGUGUGGGCUGGGAGAGCGUCCUCCUGCCCAUGUUAUACAACAGCUGACCUGAGCACCGGCCAGGGCAGAUGCAGAAGCCGUCUGCCUGUUUCUGAGUUUGCAGUGGCUUAUCCAUUGGAGACAGAAGGAAGGGGAAAUCUUCUCAGAUCUCAUCAGGCGACUCACUGGCUUCUCCCACACUGUUAGCACAGCAUCUCAUGGGCACACCAGCUAAGGGGACACGGGGGGAAGUUAAGAGCCACCUCAGAUGGUCCUAGCGGCAGGCUGGGCUCAUCUUCUUGCCUCUCGAACCUGCCUGACUUUUUAUUUUUGAAGGGACUUAUUUUAUUGCUUUUUUGACACUGUCAUCUGGGACUCAAAGGAAACUGCACCAAGAGCUAUGAAAGGACGGCAGUGACAUUUGAUUACCAUCUCCACCACCGGGGUUGGCAAGACCCUAGGGGCUGCCAGAGCCCAGCCAUACUCUUGGCCUCCCCCUCCCCCCUUCUCAUCUUUUCACCCCAGAUAAUGCCAGCUUCUGCCACACACACACACACACACCUUUGAGUCUCUCCUUCCCCUACACGGUGGCUUUCCAACCCUUUUUUAGCCAAGUCCAGCCCGACCAGCACAUACACGCAGAAGUGAAACAAACCCCAUAAACAACACCCUCUGAUGAGCGAUUCCUGAUGGAAAUCGGUCGUCCUGUUAUGACAGAAAGAGAUGAUUUUGUUCCAUCCCACCCCGUGACUUUAAACUUCUAACUACGACUCAUUAAUUUGAUUUCACAACUGGCUAAUGGGUUGCGACCUGCAGUUUGCGAAAUUCUCUGUCGUCGGCAACCUGGAAGCGGUGGGCAGUGCCGACACCAGCCUCUGGCUGGUCUCUGCCUCUCCUGCUUUCUUUCUCACAGGAAUCUGCAUCUUCCCUGUUCGAAUGACCCCACUGCGGAGGAAGGGGGAUGCUCUGCCAUCAUUUUCCUCUGGGCCUGGUGUCCAAUCAUCAGCCCACUCAGCCCUGCCUCUCCAGGCCCAGUGAUGAGCACACAGGUGGCACCUACCUGACCUUAUCCCUUCCCACUCUCUGGCCUGGGAUGCAGAACCCACAUUUGCCUCCUACGAAGUCAUACAUGUCCCCCAAACUCAUCCUUUACUGUGGCUGGAGACUGGAAGGGGAGGUAAUGCUACCACCGAGGGGACUGAAAGGCUUAUGCCUGAGCUAUGGCGGGUCCAGAAUUCUCUUUAAAUCUGUACUAUGUUUUCCAAAUUAUUUACAGUGGACUGUGCUGUCCUUGGAACUACAAAGAAAGUCAAAUGUAAGAUGAAAGUAAAAUAAAAUACAAUUCUGCCCCUC